GACGAACGCUGGCGGCGUGCCUAAUACAUGCAAGUAGAACGCUGAAGGAGGAGCUUGCUUCUCUGGAUGAGUUGCGAACGGGUGAGUAACGCGUAGGUAACCUGCCUGGUAGCGGGGGAUAACUAUUGGAAACGAUAGCUAAUACCGCAUAAGAGUAGAUGUCGCAUGACAUUUGCUUAAAAGUUGCAAUUGCAUCACUACCAGAUGGACCUGCGUUGUAUUAGCUAGUUGGGGAGGUAACGGCUCACCAAGGCAACGAUACAUAGCCGACCUGAGAGGGUGAUCGGCCACACUGGGACUGAGACACGGCCCAGACUCCUACGGGAGGCAGCAGUAGGGAAUCUUCGGCAAUGGACGGAAGUCUGACCGAGCAACGCCGCGGGAGUGAAGAAGGUUUUCGGAUCGUAAAGCUCUGUUGUAAGAGAAGAACGAGUGUGAGAGUGGAAAGUUCACACUGUGACGGUAGCUUACCAGAAAGGGACGGCUAACUACGUG
rnacentral:rRNA from 1 species